rnacentral:misc_RNA from 1 species
GUAGGUGAACCUGCGGAGGGAUCAUUCACAUGAUUUACUUUUAACAAACUGUGAACUUUAUAUACUAUUCGUGUGUAUUAACUUGUUGUUAUCAACUUGUUAUUAUCACACUGUCAUUCGAUGAACAUUAGAUAGCUGGCUUGUUUUUCAUUAAACUUUCUCAGCUGAUUUGUUUUUGUUAGACUAAACAUCUAUUCAAUACAAUCAACCAAACAUAGAAACAACUCUAUGCCCUGGAUAUCUUGGUUCU